AAACCACGAUAUAGACAUUUCCUCAUAAGUUCUCCAAAGUGCUCCCACGUCUAAAAUAGAGAUUCAAACUCAUAUUGUUGAAAAUUGGAGAUCUCUAUCAUCAGCUU